rnacentral:rRNA from 1 species
GAUGAACCGUCCAAACGUUAUUCGGAAUCACUGGGCUUACAGAGUUCGUAGGCGGUCUGGAAAGUUGGGUGUGAAAUCCCUCGGCUCAACCGAGGAACUGCGCUUGAAACUACCAGACUCGAGGGAGAUAGAGGAAAGCGGAACUGAUGGUGGAGCGGUGAAAUGCGUAGAUAUCAGGAGGAACACCUGUGGCGAAAGCGGCGCACUGGACCACAACUGACGCUGAGGCGCGAAAGCUAGGGGAGCAAACAGG